GAGAGAGGGACGGUCAACCACAUGGCAGAGACACAUGCACAGAGUGUGAGGAAAACAAGAAGUGUGUGUGGGGGAGGAGGGGGGAAGGGGGGCACAGAGAGAGGAGGGGAGGGACAGAGUGAGAGAAGGUGCGAGAGUGAAAGUGUGCAGUACAGAGGGCACUUUACAGGGUGGGAGAGGGCAAGUGAGUGGCGGAUAAAGAGAGGGAAAGGAAGCGAGUGAGAGAGAGACCUUCAGAGACAGAGGUUGUUGUUGAGUUUAGAGGACAGAGCCGAAGGGUAGGAGUGUACAGCACACUGACAGAAGAACAGCACCAUUAUUCUUUUUGGUGGCAGCCAGCUCUUACACAACUAGUAAAGCAAUGGAGAGGAGGAUAAGCAGGAUCAGUAGGCCAAACACAGUCUGUCUUUGCUGCCAGAGCCUGGAUGAAGAAGAAGAAGAAGAGAAUGAAGGUGGAAAUGAUGGAUGCAAGAGUGGGGAGAAAGUGAGUGAGUGAGGUGGAGUAAGUAAUAGGGCAGAUGAAAAAAGGGAGAGAGAGACAUCUGCUGGAAACUAAUCAAGCCACUACAGUACAAGUCUUCACCAACAGGAGCAGCAUGUCAGUUGGAUAACACACAUGUGGUCUCUACACUCCAUAAAUAUGUAAACCUUUGGUACUUAAUGUGGUAACCCGAUCUUAACAGUGUAUU